AUUGAACGCUGGCGGCAUGCCUUACACAUGCAAGUCGAACGGCAGCACGGGGGCAACCCUGGUGGCGAGUGGCGAACGGGUGAGUAACAUAUCGGAACAUACCCUAGAGUGGGGGAUAACGUAGCGAAAGUUACGCUAAUACCGCAUACGAUCUAAGGAUGAAAGUGGGGGAUCUUCGGACCUCAUGCUCAUGGAGUGGCCGAUAUCUGAUUAGCUAGUUGGUGAGGUAAAGGCUCACCAAGGCGACGAUCAGUAGCUGGUUUGAGAGAACGACCAGCCACACUGGAACUGAGACACGGUCCAGACUCCUACGGGAGGCAGCAGUGGGGAAUUUUGGGACAAUGGGGGCAACCCUGAUCCAGCAAUGCCGCGUGAGUGAAGAAGGCCUUC
rnacentral:rRNA from 1 species